rnacentral:rRNA from 1 species
UACGUAGGCAGCGAGCGUUGUUCGGAAUUACUGGGCGUAAAGAGUUGCGUAGGUGGCAUAGUAAGUCUGUAGUGAAAGCGUGGGGCUCAACCCCAUACACAUUAUGGAAACUGCUAAGCUAGAGGAUGAGAGAGGUUAUUGGAAUUCCCAGUGUAGGAGUGAAAUCCGUAGAUAUUGGGAGGAACACCGAUGGCGUAGGCAGAUAACUGGCUCAUUCCUGACACUAAGGCACGAAAGCGUGGGGAGCAAACGGG